rnacentral:misc_RNA from 1 species
UGCAACCUGCACUCCAUAAAUCAAUACCUACACCAUAAUCAGUAGCACCUAGAAGCAGCUCUGGUGGUCUAUACCAGAGAGUAACCACUCGACUAGUCAUUUGAUGCUUAUGAGAAGGAUCGAAAAUAGUAGCCAGUCCAAAGUCAGCAAUUCUGAGAAUGCCAGAAUUGUCAAGAAGAAGAUUUGACCCCUUAAUAUCGCGAUGAAGCACAUGACGAUUGUGACAAUGCUCAAGGCCAGACAACAGCUGAUGCAUGUAGCAUUUAACCUGUGCUUCGGUAAACUUGAUCUCUGGACUUGCAGCAAGUCCAGCCAAAUCAUGAUCCAUGUACUCAAAGACCAGGUAUAAACUACAUGACAUUCGUGAGGUAACCAAGCCUUCCAAUUUGAUGACAUUAGGAUGAUCUAGUUGUCGCAAAAUUAUAAUUUCUCUAGCCAUGAAUCUCACACUCUCAGGUUCUAGAUUGUCAAAACGCACUUUCUUUAGAGCAACAAUUUUACCAGUAACAGUAUCUCUCGCCUUGUAGACAUUACUGUAUGUCCCUUGGCCAAUCUUAUCAAUUUUCUCAAAAGUGUCAGCGCGUCGUGGGAGCCAACCAUCAAUUGCUUCCCCAACAUGAGCAGAGAGCCAGGAAGGCCAUCCAGCAGCAACCUGCUCCCCAUGUUUAUGCUUAGGUGGAUUACUUAAUCUUGGAUCAGGCUUCGACCUUCUCUUUUCUUUCCUAGAUUUUCCGUCAUGCUCCGUCUUGUCAUCCUUCUUAGUUUCAUCACCUUCAUCGGCUUCCACAACUUCAGUGUCAACAGUUACAUUUUCAGCCCCCUUGACCUCAAAAGUUUCAGUGGAUUCAGCGCUAAUGCUCUGACUCUUCUUCUCAUAAUGUGCACCUUCCCUUUUCUCCUCUCUGCCAUUGUGUACUAAGCCUGAUGAAGCUUCCCGACCCAAAACACACCCCAUCUUUCAGGUCUACACUUCAUAACUCAACAUUCUCAUGGAUUAACCAACCAAUUUCCACAAUCAACUCAGAAUCUACAACACUUGCUGGGUUGAUCAAAUCUGAGCCAAAAAUAGGAAAUAAGAGAGAGAGAGUUUUAUGUGGUGUCUGUAGUCUUCAACGUUUCUUUGCUGUAAGACAAGAAAAGAGUAUAAUCAUAAAAGAAUCAAUCGGACAACCAAUCUCUUCAGUAUAUACAAAUA